rnacentral:rRNA from 1 species
GACGGGGGGGCAAGUGUUCUUCGGAAUGACUGGGCGUAAAGGGCAUGUAGGCGGUGAAUCGGGUUGAAAGUGAAAGUCGCCAAAAAGUGGCGGAAUGCUCUCGAAACCAAUUCACUUGAGUGAGACAGAGGAGAGUGGAAUUCGUGUGUAGGGGUGAAAUCCGUAGAUCUACGAAGGAACGCCAAAAGCGAAGGCAGCUCUCUGGGUCCCUACCGACGCUGGGGUGCGAAAGCCAUGGGGAGCG